rnacentral:rRNA from 1 species
GACGGAAGGUGCAAACGUUGCUCGGAAUCACUGGGCUUAAAGGGCGCGUAGGCGGGCUGACAAGUCAGGGGUGAAAUCCCGCGGCUCAACCGCGGAAGUGCCUCUGAUACUGGCGACCUCGAGGGGGUGUAGGGGCUUGCAGAACUGUGCGUGGAGCGGUGAAAUGCGUUGAUAUGCACAGGAACUCCGGUGGCGAAAGCGGCGAGCUGGACACCUUCUGACGCUGAGGCACGAAAGCUAGGGGAGCGAACGGG